rnacentral:rRNA from 1 species
AAUGAACGUUGGCGGCGUGGAUUAGGCAUGCAAGUCGAGCGAGAACCCCGCAAGGGGGGACAGCGGCGAAAGGGACAGUAAUGUGUAGAUUAUCUGCCCUCAGGUCCGGGAUAGCUGCGGGAAACUGCAGGUAAUACCGGAUAACAUCUCCGGAUCAAAGGUGUGAUUCCGCCUGAGGAUGAGUCUGCAUCCUAUUAGCUAGUUGGUGGGGUAAUGGCCUACCAAGGCAUUGAUGGGUAGCAGGUGUGAGAGCACGACCUGCGUCAUUGGGACUGAGACACUGCCCAGACACCUACGGGUGGCUGCAGUCGAGAAUCGUCGGCAAUGGGCGCAAGCCUGACCGAGCGGCGCCGCGUGUGGGAUGAAGGCCUUCGGGUUGUAAACCACUGUCAGAGGGGAUGAAAUGCAGGUGGGUUCUCCCAUCUGUUUGACAUAGCCUCAGAGGAAGGACGGGCUAAGUUCGUG